UGAUUUCUUCCUUGUAAAAGAUAAGAGAUUUCUAAACAAAUAGGACCCUUAGAGUCCUAUAUAAAUCCUUAUAUCUUCCAUGAAGAAGAUAAUGAAUGAUUUUACAAACUCCACAAAUACUUGUGUCAAUCGCUCCGAGAGGGAGAGGGUGUGAGACCCAAAAUCACCUCACAAGGAGAGGGUGUGAGGCCCACUUUCUAUCCUACUCCUUCUACUUAAGAUCCAGUGUUCCUGCGACUCUGAUCGACUCCACCAUCUACCCACGCAAGCCUAUUCCGUCAAGAGAAGAUCUGUCUCCUCCAGAAUUUUCAUCUAUCGUGCUGAGAGAAGGAGUGAUUUCUUAUUCUACAGAUCAUAUGCUGUCAAGGACCUUCAUUCCUUAACAGUUGAUUUUUGAUUUUUUUUUUUUAAUCCGAUGUUGGCAAAGACCUAGUUCUUUAUCGAUGGAUCUGUUUGGUUAAAAGAUUAAGAGC
rnacentral:lncRNA from 1 species